rnacentral:lncRNA from 1 species
GUAAGCAUGAGAUGGGAAGAGUAUCCCAGACAAGAAGCCAUCAUAAAGCAAGAACUAGCAUGGCGCAUUGGAAGAUCAGAAAUUGACCCUGCAUCUUAACGGAACUUUACAAUCAGAGUUAUGUUUACUUCAUCCUUCAAGUGUUCUUCACAAUUCUUCCGUUAUUUAAUUUCUUAAAAAUAGGACUUGCAAGUUAAAGAAAAUCAUGCCAUCUUUCCACUCAGAUAGGAAAGGAGGUGGUAGAUAAGUAAUGUUAAAUGAUACAUGUCAGGUAUCCCUCUCAGCACUUAUAGAUACUAUGGGUACAUGCCCUAGCUCUUCUUUUGUGAGCAAACCAUUUGUACCCACUUAAAUAUAGGUUUGCUAUUUUGUUGUGGAUUACUUCAAAUAUCUAAUGAAAAUCAUCUGACUUGGAGGCCAAAACAAAGCUGAUCUGAGAGCGUGUGUUGGAGCAGAAUAAUAAUGUACUGUUCAGAAUUCAGUCAAAGCUUCCUCAUGUCCUUCUGCACAUCACAUGCAGGAUACAGGAACUGGGAGACAGCUGACUAAGCAUGAAAAGAUCACUUUUAGAGUCUCCAUUACCGCCUCUCCCUCCAGCCCCAAGCACUGUAGAAGCACAGACGAGAGAGGAGAGUUAUGGAUUGAGAGACUGACCUUUUAGUGGACUGAAUUAUCCACUCAUUUUCAAUUAAGUUUCCAUAUGGCAAAUUGAAGCUGACCCUGUUACAAUGAUAAAACUACACAGAAGGAAAGAGGCCAUAAAUAUUGUGAGAGAAAUUGUAUUUUGGGGCAUUAUGUACUUAGAUUUUUCCAACCGAAGGAAAGAAAAAACAAGGAAACAUAGAGUUGUUAGAAUAUGUUGGGUAAAAUAGGCAAUCAAUUAAUUACCUAAAUAACUACAAACCCCUCUCCUACUAUAGGUCUUAUUUGUUCCAGUAUCCUCC